UUAACUUUAAUUUGUAUUGAGUCGGAACAUUUGCCUAGUUUGCCGCUAGGGGCGCUGUUCCAACUGCAUACAAAUUUGAGUUA
rfam:Bombyx mori DNA, contig: Bm_scaf1_contig128, strain: p50T/Dazao, build 2, whole genome shotgun sequence.